rnacentral:lncRNA from 1 species
CUGGCUCAUGAAGAUGCUUGCCACUGGGCCAGGUUCUAACGGAUAAAACUUCACAGAGAAGAAAAGGAGCAGGCUGAAGAUGAAUUAAAUUGAGCCUGGAAGCACAGACCCUUCCUUGCUCGGCCCGUGCCUCAUCUGGACAGAAUUGCAGGCUUAUCCUCUCCCACCUGAUGGAUAAUUUCCUGCACGACACAUUGCAAGACAAUCUGAAAAAUCAGACCCAGAGUUCCUGUCGUGGCCCAGCAGAAAUGAAUCCGACUGGGAACCAUGGGGUUGAGGGUUCGAUCCCUGGCCUUGUUCAGUGGAUUGUGGAUCUGAAAUUGCUGUGAGUUGUGGUGUGGGUCGCAGAUGUGGCUUGGAUCUGGU